GAAAUGCGAUAAUUAAUGUGAAUUGCAGAAUUCAGUGAAUCAUCGAGUCUUUGAACGCACAUUGCGCCCCCUGGUAUUCCGGGGGGCAUGCCUGUCCGAGCGUCAUUGCUGCCCUCUAGCACGGCUUGUGUGUUGGGCUUCCGUCCCUGGCAACGGGGACGGGCCCAAAAGGCAGUGGCGGCACCAUGUCUGGUCCUCGAGCGUAUGGGGCUUUGUCACCCGCUCCCGUAGGUCCAGCUGGCAGCUAGCCUCGCAACCAAUCUUUUUAACCAGGUUGACCUCGGAUCAGGUAGGGAUAUCCGCUGAACUUAAGC
rnacentral:misc_RNA from 1 species